UGAGGGUUGGGUGCACGGAUCCUUGCUUAAAUGUCAGCGCUGAGCAUCAGCUGCUCACCAUUCAUAUGACCAGUGGCUGUGUUGCAUAGCAAAGACUGCUAAGUUUGGAAUGCUUGAUAUGAGCUUCUUUUCACAUUGAACAACUGAUUCAGAACUGAAGCGCAAAAGGGGAAUCCGACUGUUUAAUUAAAACAAAGCAUUGUGAUGGCAUUUUGAAUGUGUUGAUGCAAUGUGAUUUYUGCCCAGUGCUCUGAAUGUCAAGGUGAUGAAAUUCAAACAAGCGCGGGUAAACGGCGGGAGUAACUAUGACUCUCUUAAGGUAGCCAAAUGCCUCGUCAUCUAAUUAGUGACGCGCAUGAAUGGAUUAACGAGAUUCCUACUGUCCUUACUUUCAAUUUAGCGAAACCMCAGCCAAGGGAACGGGCUUGGGUUAGUCAGCGGGGAAAGAAGACCCUGUUGAGCUUGACUYUAGUCUGMCAUUGUGAAAUGACUCAGGAGGUGUAGAAUAAGUGGGAGUAUUCUUGCAAUCAUGAAAUACCACUACUCUUGAUGUUAUUUUACUUAUUCUGUGAAACUCGUUCUUGCAUUUGCAUGUUGUUGCUCUCCAGCCAUUAUGCGUUGGUGUAUUUGUGUGGAAUAAUGUGUCAGGUAGGGAGUUUGGCUGGGGCGGC
rnacentral:rRNA from 1 species